rnacentral:tRNA from 1 species
GGAGUGAUAGCUCAACAGUUAAGAGCACUGGCUUCUUGACCAGAGGACCUGGGUUCAAUUCCUAGCACCA